rnacentral:lncRNA from 1 species
CUCACUUCCGCAAUAUAGAUGUGAGAUUGAUGAACAAAUCUUCGCUGCAGGGAAUAGUCACACCACCCAUUGGAUGGUCGAAGCCAAAUUCUUCCUCAGAUUGACUAAGCAAGUCUUGAAAUAAAGGUUCGCUCAAGAAUGAUAUCGGGAUCACAAAUCUCUUUUUCUGCAUCUCCCCAACAUACACAGCAAAAUGGCCCUUGGGAAUAUCUCUGGUUGCGGAAGACUUCUUGAUCAUACGAAGAAUAGCCAUGAUCUCUAGUUUUAGUAUAGGUGAGAAAAAAAGAAGGAUUGUAAGGUUACCAAAAAGCACAGAAAGCUUUGAUGUUUGCUGAGUAUUGUGGUGGUAGAUACCUCUUUAGAUAUGUUUAUAUAGGAAAUGGCAACUCAUAUUGAUGUGUGUUGAAUAGGAAUGUGUGCAUACCAGCAGAAGACAAUGGCACUGUCGUAUCACAUGCUCUUGCCUUCCAAGUAUUGAAAACUUGUGGUGUUAGCUAAAUAACAAUAGGCCCUACCUUAUUUUGGAACUUGGGAAGAGCCAUUUGGAUUGGACAUCAGUAGAAGACAAUGAUAUAUUAGUAAUCACUUGGGCCUGCCUUCCAGCUAGUUGACAUGAUUAAUUGCUUUAGCAUAUAAGAUCAAGUUCAAUAGGUCCUACAUAUAUUUUCCUAUAGGGAACAAAGGAUCUCUAAGAAUCAAAUCCAUAAAUAUUGCUGGUAGCUUAUGAGGAUAUCUAGGAAUUAACCAUACCCCAUGCAAACUUUGUGUCCACUUGUAUAAAAAGGAUAAGAGAUAAAAGUUGGCUUAUUAAAAUUCAGAGCCAGUUAGUCAAAAUCAGAGAAUCAAAUAGAAACAGAGGGUUAUAUAUGCAAGAACAAUCCAUUGGUUAAAUAGUUGGCUCCCUAAGUACAUAAUCUUGUUUGCUAUCUUUUACAAAUACAUUGGUUUCUUCAUAAACAAAGAUAAAUAAGUUGGGAUCUUCCUCCAUAAAUAGCUUCCCAUCUCUACAUCCCAAACACAACCAUUAGUACUUUUUUAGUAGCAUUAAGCUCUCAAAUUUGUAUGCACCAGCUUGGAGGGAGUGUUUCAAUAGAAUAAGUAUUUCCUACUUAAAAUAGGAAUAGGAAUAAGAAUAGGAUUCCUAGUCAGAAAAGGACUCUAAUAUAGUGUCUAUAAAUAGGGUCUCAAUGUAAAAUUUAGAUACACAAUUCAAUAAUAUUUUUUCACCAUAUAUUUCUCACAAGGGUGACAACAAGACCAAGUUUUUCCACAGAUCAGCAAAUGCUCAUAGAAGAUAUAACAAUAUUGAUGAAUUUAUGGUGGAUGGGGAAGCAACCCAAAAACCAGAUGUUAUAAAGAAGGAGAUUGAGAGGUCUAUUAAAGAAUAUAUACUGAAACUGAGACAUGGAGGCCAGCUGGAGGAUGCAGGGCAGACCACAGAGCACAGAGUUUCUAUUGAAGACAAUCAUUCUAUGAAAGCUAGAUAUACAAAAGCUUAUGACCACCUCAAUAGGAUUUGGAGGUAGAUGGGUAAGAUGGAUGAAGUUCUGCAUAAGCACAGUCAAAUUCUCUGUCCUUAUCAAUCAAUGACUCCCCUACAGGUGAGCCUUCUACUCACAGAGAGGCCUAAGGCAAGGAGACCCAUUAUCUCCUUUUCAUCAUUGCCACGAGAUGUCUUAAUGAUAUGUUGAGAGUUGCUCAAGGAAUAGCUGGUUGAAGGGAUUCAAAGCUGCACACAGGGAAGGCUCAAACUUGGAGUUACUCAUUUGCUUUGCAGUAUGCUGAUGAUACAUUGAUCUUUUGUGAGGCUAAUAAGGACCAACUCAUGAUUCUCAAGGUCAUUUUUGUUAUUUUUGAAGCAGUCCCACGAUUACAUUCAACUGGAAUAAGAGCUUCAUAUAACCAGUUAAUGAGGUUCCUAACCUAACCUAAUUGGCUGGGGUCCUUGGUGGAAGUAUUGGGAAGCUACCAACUGUCUACUUGGGCAUGCCUCUGGGUGAUCAGAACAGGUCUAUAGAUAUAUGGAAUUGCGUGGUAAAGAAGUGCAAGAAGAGGUUGGUAAACUGGAAAAGUCAAUAUCUCUCCUUAGGAGGAAGACUAGCACUAAUCAAAAGUGUUUUGGACUCUAUGCCUACCUAUAUGAUGUCCCUCUUCCCUAUCCCUGAUGGGGUCAUUGAGAGAUUGGAUGUUCUAAGAAGAAACUUAGUGAAACCAAGAAGUUCCACUUGGUGAAAUGGGAUGCACUGAUUGGAAGUAAACAAAAAGGGGUGUGGGGGUAAGGAACUUAAAAACUCAGAACCAAUGUCUUAUGAUGAAAUGGCUCUGGAUAUUUGCUUCUAGGGAGUCAGCUCUCUGGAAAGAAGUUAUCCAGCUGAAGUAUGAAAUGGCAGAUCAUUGGACCACCAGAAUGGUCACCGAUACUUAUGGGAUCAACCUUUGGAGAUCCAUCAGAAACCUGUGGCCAAAGCUUAGAGAAAAUUGCAGCAUAAGAACAGAAGAUGGCAGGAAGGUACUUUUCUAGGAAUACAAGUGGUUACAUCAAGCCCCCCUAAGGGACACCUUCAAUGAUAUUUACACCCUAAACCAACAACAAAGGACCACUGUGGAUGAAGUCUGGUCAAAUCAGGGAUGGAAUUUGAGCUUUAGAAGACCUUUUAAUGACAAGGAGAUUUUGAGGUUAGUUGAGUUCUACAGCAAUUGGAGCAAUUCAAAGGAACCUCCACUGACCAAGAUAGAUUGGAGUGGGAGGGCCACAGUCAAGGUAAUUUCAGUAUGAAAGGGGCCUAUAAAAAAUUUAACCCCAAUAAUUAUCAGAUUGUGGGGGGCCUAGGAAGCUUAUAUGGAAAGUCAAAAUUCCUUAUAAAAUUUCCUGCUUCACUUGGCUUGUGGCCAAACAAGCUGUUUUAACCCAAGAAAACCUCAUGAAAAGGGGGAUACAUCUAAGUCCAAGGUGUUUUUUUGGGAAGAGAAGGCUGAGACUGUAACCCACCUUUUUAUACACUACAGGAUUACCCGUCAACUAUGGGAAAUAUUCCUAAGUAAGAAGGGCCUGAAUUGGGUAAUGCCAAGGAAAAUAGAUCAGACUUUGAAGAUCUGGAGCAGUUAUGCUAGCAUGUCAGACCAUAAGGAUAGGUGGAAAAUUGUACCAGCUUGAAUUUUGUGGGCUGCUUUGCGAUGAAAUUGAAGUGAUUAGUUUUGUUUCACUUUUGGUGUAAACAGGAGUAUAGGGAAUAUCUAGAAUCAAUUAAAGAUGCCUUAGGAUUAUUGUAAUUUUUUGUUAAAAGGGUUGAAGUUCUUCUAGAUACUCCCCUCCUCAACUGUAAUUAUGAAACCUGUAACUUGUCGUGGCAGGUUUCUGUUUUUGGGGAAAUAGAAUACAAGUCGUUACCUUCUCAAAAAAAAAAAGUAUAAACAUGGAGUACAUAUUAUUAAGAAUUAAUCAAUUUACAUCCAGUUCUAUUGGACUGAGUUUAACUCAGUACUUUCACAUUGCUGCAGAAUGGCAGAUCUAGUACAUCUUGAGUUACACUUCAUUGUAUGAUGGACACUACCAUGUGUGUUUUAACUUCAUUUUGACCACAAAGUAUAAUUCUUACCAACGGAAUGAGUUGUGGCACUUUAGAAGAGUUGUGGCACUUUAGAAGGCUAGAUUCUGACUAAAAAUCGAUGAGAGUUGAGCAAAAAGUUUCUAUUGCAAUGAAUUAUUUACAUCGAUGUAUGGCAUAGAAUGAAACCAUGUAAGUAAAAAGUUUCAUUACUUCAAUUUCUUUUGAAGUAGAAAAAUGUGUCCAUAGUCUAACUAGUGUUUCUUCAAAACUAUGAACUGUACAGUGUCUAUCCUGGCUUACUACAACUAUACAAAAUUGUGUAAUUAAAAAAAUGGGGACUGGUUUUCUUCUCACUUCCGCAAUCGAGAUGUGAGAUCGAUGAACAAAUCCUCACAGCAUGGAAUAGUCACACCACCCAUUGGAUGGUCGAAGCCAAAUUCUUCCUCAGAUUGACUAAGCAAGUCUUGAAAUAAAGGUUCGCUCAAGAAUGAUAUCGGGAUCACAAAUCUCUUUUUCUGCAUCUCCCCAACAUACACAGCAAAAUGACCCUUGGGAAUAUCUCUAGUUGCAGAAGACUUCUUGAUCAUACGAAGAAUAGCCAUGAUCACUUAGUUUUAGUAUAGGUGAAAAAAAAAAGAAGGAUUGUAAGGUUACCAAAAAGCAGAGAAAGCUUUGAUGUUUGCUGAGUGUUGUGGUGGUAGAUACCUCAUUAGAUAUGUUUAUAUAGGAAAUGGCAACUCAUGUAUAAUGUGUGGGUACCAGCAGAAGACAAUGGCACUGUAGUAUCAGAUGCUCUUGCCUUCCAAGUAUUGAAAACUAUGUGGUGUUAGUUAAAGAACAAUAGGCCCUACCUUAAUUUGAAACUUGGAAAGAGCCAUUUGGAUUGGACAUCAGUACAAGACAAUGAUAUAUUAGUAAUCACAUGGUCCUGCCCUCCAGCUAGUUGCAAUGAUUAAUUACUUUGGCAUAUAUAAGUUCAAGUUCAAUAUGUCCUACAUAUAUUUUCCUAUAGGGAACAAAUGAUCUCUAAG